rnacentral:rRNA from 1 species
GAUGAACGCUGGCGGCGUACCUAAUACAUGCAAGUCGAGCGAACAGACGAGGAGCUUGCUCCUCUGACGUUAGCGGCGGACGGGUGAGUAACACGUGGAUAACCUACCUAUAAGACUGGGAUAACUUCGGGAAACCGGAGCUAAUACCGGAUAAUAUAUUGAACCGCAUGGUUCAAUAGUGAAAGACGGUUUUGCUGUCACUUAUAGAUGGAUCCGCGCCGCAUUAGCUAGUUGGUAAGGUAACGGCUUACCAAGGCAACGAUGCGUAGCCGACCUGAGAGGGUGAUCGGCCACACUGGAACUGAGACACGGUCCAGACUCCUACGAGAGGCAGCAGUAGGGAAUCUUCCGCAAUGGGCGAAAGCCUGACGGAGCAACGCCGCGUGAGUGAUGAAGGUCUUCGGAUCGUAAAACUCUGUUAUUAGGGAAGAACAAAUGUGUAAGUAACUAUGCACGUCUUGACGGUACCUAAUCAGAAAGCCACGGCUAACUACGUG